rnacentral:rRNA from 1 species
UACAGAGGUCUCAAGCGUUGUUCGGAUUCACUGGGCGUAAAGGGUGCGUAGGUGGUGGGAUAAGUCGGAUGUGAAAUCUCGGAGCUUAACUCCGAAACUGCAUUGGAAACUGUCCUGCUAGAGGGUUGGAGGGGGGACUGGAAUACUUGGUGUAGCAGUGAAAUGCGUAGAUAUCAAGUGGAACACCGGUGGCGAAGGCGAGUCCCUGGACAACACCUGACACUGAGGCACGAAAGCUAGGGGAGCAAACAGG